UUCGAUAUAAUCCGUAUACACAGGUAACUUAAAUAUGAUCGGUUUGACGUGAAGGUAAAAAUGCAUUCUGCAUGAAUGGGGUUUGAGUUUAAUUAAUUACUCGUUGAAAACAAAUGUCGCAGCUAUAAACAGAGUCAUACAGUAAAAGCGAAUUGUUUAGAAGAACCACAAUGUGUCAAAAGGUGGAUUGUAAAAAAUGUGGAAAACCGACAUGGGCAGGGUGUGGUGCGCAUAUUGAACUGGUAUUGCGCAAUGUCCCUGUAGAGGAGCGCUGUAAGUGUAAACGCAAGGGUUCUGGUUGUGCCAUACAGUGAUAACUUCAUCUUCACCCCCGUCAUAGUUUCAAAUGGUAACAGGAAAGCAUGCCAAUCCCAGUGACUAUAGUGCAACAUUCCAUUAUUCAACAAGAACCUGGACUGCCCACAUAAAAAAAACAACAACUAAGUGUCUGUCUUUACUCAUGACUUAAAUUGUGUGUGUAUGUACAUAUAAUUAUAGUGUUUUCAAUAUUUACUUGCUUUAGUUUUGUUUAUUAUAUUAUCUUUUGACUUCAAGUAUUCUGUAGUAAAGUAACGCUUUUGUAAAGCUCCAGCCAUAAUAAUUGCAGAAGGGUAGAUAGUGGAUAUGUAUGCAUGAUUUUUUUUUGCUUCAUAUCUUACAGCCUGUGCCUUUUGGAUUGGGAAAAAUAACGGGAUAAACCAUGUAAUUGGGUACAAUGAAACGUUAUUAAUAUCAUUAUAAAUGACAGUAUUCCGAUUGUUUAUAAGUGCACAUUUAACUGCAUUUUAAAAUUAAUGUUAUUUACAUAAUUAUAUCCCUGUAUAUUAAUGUAAAUAAACCAAUUAUUAAGUUUAUUGGAAAUGUUCUGCUUUUUUAAGGAAAUUUUGGUCAGCUUUAUGGGAAAAAAUGUUACUUUAUAUUGUCAUUGGGAAGCAGCUUGUAAAAGGCUGUAAUUAUGUGCAAAAAAUCACUGUAUGUGCGGUAAUGUUCAUGUGUGGUGCAAAGCUUUUUGGAUAAUUAAGGGAACUAGAAAUAAAAUUGCGCAAAAUAUUAAUUGUUAGCAACAAGUCAAAUACUUAAAUUACCCAACCUGAAGACUUAACAACGUGAGUUUUUUCCAAUUUCAGUUUCUUUUUACUUAUUUUUCCCAGUUGGGCUGGUACCAGUUCUUUUACCAAUUUGGCUAAACAUUCGCUGAAUUACAAUGUUGUUGGCUUUAAAGUAAAGAUCACUGUGAACAUUUUUAGUUUGUGCAUAUAAAGUUUUGCCUGCCCUAAGAUUUAUUCACCGGUAAAUGGAAUUGUUUUGUUUUAGCAUUAAUUGCAUUUAGGCAUUCAUUUCGUUUCAUGUUCAUACCUCAUACAACUGUGCCUUGUUUGCAAAGAUUGGCCGUUCAAUUAUUCCAAGAAAAAGCAUUCAAAUGUUUCCAUUGUAAUGUCAAAGCAUUAAAACAUUUUAGGGGUUUAUUUGUUUCUGUUGAAGAGAAAAAAACUAAACAAAUGCCCCGACGCUGUAAGAUUUUGAUUGAGUUUGCAAAAUUGAUUGAUUUCUCAUAAUUGUGACGUUGAAAGUUGUAUGUAUUAUUUAGUUUUAUUGCAUUUAUUGUUUUGACAUGUUACCAAAUGAGAAUAAUCUGUUAUGCCAUAUUACUUGAAAAUUAAUGAACAUGUGUGUUUUGUUUAUUCCUUGGUAAAUCACCAAUAAACUUAACCCUUUCCCACUCAGAAGCAAAGUGAAAAUACAUGUAGCUAUGUUCAAACAGCAUAAAACCAGAACAGCCUGCAAAUAACUUGCAGUCUGUUCAAAUUUUAUGUUUGCUGCUCAUCAGUAUCAAAGGGUUGGAAAUGAAGCCUUUAAAACAUGAAUAUAGUAUGAAGGGUCUUUAAUUAAAUUUAACUUUCUAAAGGACUACACAUCUGUCAAAAUACGUAUCUAAUGGAUAGAGUUAAGUGAUACAUUUGUAAUUUCAAGUUUGAUGUCUUUAAAAUACAAAUACAGCAUACCAUCGUGUGUUCAUGAUAGCAACCUGCAUGCUAUUAGCCGUUUAAAUAACAAUUGUCAUGUCCAUGUAGUAAUGUGUAAGGUGCACCAUAUAGUGAUAGAAGAAAUAUUUUACUAAACAGGGGAACAUUUUAUUGAUUGUCAAUACAUUAUUAUGCAUGUAUCAACGAAUCUCAUGUCUGAUAUUUAAUAGAGAUUGGGCUUUCUUAUAUGAAACCAUAUGCUGGUUUUGAUGUAAAAAGCUGGGUACAGUAGACCUUAUCUGACAAAGAUAUUCAUUGUUUCCCCUAUAACUUAUUAGCAUGUUUUGUUUGUAUGUUUAGUUGGAUUUCACGUUUUCAUCAGUAUUCAGUCAUAUAAUGGCAGUCAAUUUACUGACUAGCGCUUUUUGGGGGAUAACUUGUUUACCAGUACCAGAACUCUCCCUGACUAAAUACUUUCUGUAGAAAAAUUUACUGUAGUACACAGAAUUUCUUCACAUUUUAUCAGUUUUACUGGAUUUUAUUAUAAAAAGUUUUAGCCAAAUGGAAAUUUAUUGAGCCAAUUUUUAGCUCAGCUGUUUUCAGAGAAAACCCGAGGUAUUGUCACAGCCAGCUUGUCGUCCGCCGUAGGCGUCUUGCUAAAACCUUAACAUUGGCUCUAAAAUCAAAAAGCUUCCACCUACAACUUUGAAACUUCAUAUGUAGAUGCUCCUUGACGAGUUCUACAUGCCACAUCCAUUUUUGGGUCACUAGGUCAAAGGUCAAGGUCACUGUGACCUCUAAAAAAAUAUAAUCUGACAAGCUUUCACAGCCGAGCAUGGCACCCGUUAUGCGGUGCUCUUGUUUUUAAUUUGUAGCCAUUUGCUAAUUUGGCGAAUGGCAGAUCUGGUCCCCCCACAUGGAUGUAUACAAUAUUGCAAAGAUAUGAAAUUGAUAUUAUUAGAGUAUGAACAUUGAGAUUUUAUUGUGGAACUACAUGUAUUUUUUCUGCAUUACAAUUCUAUGUUACACUAAGGACUCCAGUUAUCAAAGCAAAUGGAAGUUGCUUCUGUAAUAUUUUUGUUUGAAUUCUGAGAAUAUAGAAAUAACAUUGUUUAUCAUCAAGCUCAAAAUAUAUGCACAUUUAUUGUGAGGCAUCAUUUAAAAUAUUGUUAAAUAUAGUACGAUUGCUUGAUGGCACAUAAUUUGUAUGUCAGCUAAAUAUAUUACGAUUGUUUAGUAGCACAUAUAUUGUAUGUGAGGUGCCAUUUGUAAAAUUGUUAAACAUAGUGUGAUAGUUUAGAAGCACAUUUCCAGUUCAAACUGUUAUAUGACAUUGUUGUUUGUUCUUUAAAUGAGUGAAUACUGGAAUUAAUGUUUUUCAUUAUCAAAGUAUGUGUUAGCGUUUAUUAAAUGGUUAUGCUUAUAGAAAUAAAAUUUUUAUCAAA